GCCUCCGAUGAGACCCUUUCCGAUUCCCGUUUCAUGUAAUUUUUCUACCAUUGUUAUCACCGUUUUCCUCUCUACAGGUUGACCGAAGCGAAACACCCAACUGCAACGUGAGCCGGAAGAGCCACUGCACUAGAGAGUCCCGUCGCCUUUGAGUUUCGAUUUUUCGUAUUUUUUCGGCCCAUCGAGGCUCUUUAGCAUGUGUGCUCACAGGAAUCAAUGUAAAAUUGACCGAAUUCGAUCGAAUUUGGCUGAAAACGACCGACCUG
rnacentral:lncRNA from 1 species